ensembl:lncRNA
CUGCAGAGGUCGGGGUGAUAUUCACCUUCUUCUUUUGAGAAGCUGUAGAUCAUAUUCACCCCUGAUGUAAAACCUCCAACCUUAGCCCUUAUUAUUAUUUUUAGGACAAAAUCAGUCAGGUUUCAUCAUGAACCAAAGAGUAAUUUUAAUAGGCUUGAGCUUACAAGUGUGACGUUCCCUACUUGUGCUUAUGCUUUUUCUUAUUGUUUGCUGUACCUCUGUGCUCUUUAGAAGUUCAGAAUGAGUUUCUCUUCUCAAAGGGUUUUUGCACAGGCUCUGGGAGAUGCUUGUGUAAGGGUAAAACAUGCAUGUGUUCAACUACGUGGCUGGUGGCUGUUUGCAGAGCUCACAGCAGGACCAAGAGUGGGAUCUGGGACGAUUACAUUAAAGAGGAGGUGGAAAAUUUCCCUCCCGCAUUCCCUACCGCUGCAAAAACAGACCAAUUUGCAGGAGCUCGUAUGCUACUCCAAAGGACCAAAAACUGGAGGAGGAAAACAGAGAGGUUAUUGAUACUGUAACUGUCAUUUGACUGAACAUCUCACCAGCAAUGUAUCACUUCAACAAGUACGUUCAUCUUUCAAGUUUAUCUUUUCCACCAUAUGUUUUGUAUAAAAAUAAGACUUGAGAACCUAUACAGUCUCCUUCAAAGUCCGGUGAAGCUCUCUACAAAGAGCUCCCCAUGACAUUUUUUUUUUCCAUUUCAACCAAAGCCUGAAAGAAGAAACUGGCAGCCUUUGGGAAGGUGAGCAGAAAAGCAAGCAAGGAUGUGGCUAAACACACUCCAAGAGAAAAAGGGUAAAAACAGCUCUCCCAGCUGCAUGGUAUUACAGAAUAACAGUUGUUACAUAUGGAAUUAUUUGGUGAUGGUGGACGUGAACAGGCAUUUUGGAGUAUGUCUGUGAAGAUCAGUUCUUGGUGGCUUUAGGACAAGAAGAAAUAGCAGAGGAGAAGGGAAAACAAAUGUGUGCUGAAGCAGGGAGCAGGUGGAAAGUAAAACAUAAGUGGGACUGCGGGGAGUUUUGAAGGACCAGCCGGGGGUUGCUCUGAGCCCCGGCCACCACCGUCCCUCAUAGACUGUCCUACUGCUGUAAAGCACACAGACAAAGUGCUUCCUGAGAUUUUAUCCUCCCACUUCAACUAUUUUUGAAGUUCUGUGAAUGGGAACUACAACUUCACUCGCUGGCAAAGGAACUCCACCUCGAAUAGCUGCUACAGUACAUCUUCUAAAAACAAUAACAGGGGUUUUUAUUACUCCUUUGUGGCAAAAUCCACAUCAGUAACCCCAGUACGGUGUCUGCAAACAAAACUCCAUUUUCUGUGACGUGUUAAAAACACAUCAAAUUAUGGCAACGCUCCAAUACAGUGCAAAAAAUGCAAUAAAUAUUCCCUUGAAGGGAAGGUGACAUUUUUUUCAGACUCAUUUUCCACUGCAAUCUCAGUGCCCCCUCAGCAGCCAUUAUCUGGGGCCAUAGAAAAUGCUUCUUGUUCCCUCUGACCUCGCUGGGAGCAGAGUCAGAGAGUGACUGAGAGGGCUUUCAAUAAUGGAGCUGGAUUCGGAGGUGAAGACUGUAUGAACUGCUCCUCUGUAUCCUGAGAAUAUCGAAACGCAGUGCAGCCCUAUUACUUAGUGAGGAUCUGCUCGUCGGGAAGUCACUGCGGGAAUAAUGAGGGGGGAAGAACAAGAGGAGGAGGAAAAGGUGAGAAGAAAAGAGAGAGGGCGAGAGGGAGCAAAGAGGAAAAGGGGAUUUGCUUUUGAUGUCACACUUCUAUCAACUCAUGCAUUUUUCAUGGAUACCAACUAAUUCUGCAGUAACGCCGUGCUGACAAUCCAGGCACGAGAAAAAAUCAGCCCAGCUCCCACAUACCACCAUACUGGCUUAAAAGUGAAGAUACUUUGCAAAAUGAUCCAUUUUAUUGUUUAAUUCCCUUCUAAUUUGGGAGUUUCAGGUUCACGUAUUCAAGCUCUUCUCUCCAACUUGGGAUUCAGAAAUGUAAUUAUUUUCAUGUAAGCCGAGGUUCCAAUUUAAUCCCAUCUGCCGAAGAGUUUGAGCUGAAAACAAAGCGCAGUGUUGCAAAAUCUCACUGUAAUCAUAGGGGCUGCCAACAGUAAAUGUCACAACCGUGGCAUAUCGUAGGGUUUUGAUGCAAAACUAACUAAAAUUUAUGAGAUGUUAGGAGCGCUAAAAGUGCAUCCACUGAAGUUGCAUCUGUGCCAUUUGCUAGUAAUUAAUUACAAACUGAAAGUGAAGCCAACUGGCAAAUAAAAAUAAGCUGGUGGGACUCGGAGCUAACCUGCGCUGUACUUCAAGCUUCAUGUUUUGUAAACUUGAGGAGAGCGCUGGCAUUUCUCGGUGCUUUUGAUUAAAACCCGAUCACUUUUUAAACAAAGCAAUUCACGACUUCGAGUGUAAACAUUCUUUGAGGUUGCAGUCAUCCGGGCUACAGCAACGCCGAUCCUCGCAGGGAAGACAAACAGCCCCUGCACAGGUGCGGGAAGCAGCACAGCACCUUUACGUGCCCGAGCAGGGUUGAUGCUGAAGGCUCCUGCUUAGAUGUCAGCCCCCAGACACCGCCCACCUGCGUGGUUCUGGGGGGGUUCCGGCAAUAGUUCUCUACGUUGAUGUGUAAGCGCUGGAGCCCGCGGUGGGCUCUCCGCAUACGUCUCUCAGCCGGCUGUCACGUAAGAGAUCACAACUAGACCAACGUCCCUGGUUUAAUUACGUAUGGAAAUGCCUUAAAGAUAGUAAAAACGGUGGAAAAAAAAAAAAAAAAACCACGAAACAAACAACCCGAGCGCACCGGUAACGCGAUGUACGGACGUCUUCAACGAACUGGCGGAAAAAUAAAGGG